rnacentral:rRNA from 1 species
UGGUGGAAUGUUCUGUCUGGUUGAUUCCGAUAACGAACGAGACUUGGGUUCUGUGUCUAGUCUGGCUCAUAUCUCUUGAUAUGUGUACUCCGCAAGGGUUACAGACUUCCACAGAAGACGCCUGGUUAAAAAAAUCAGGGGAAGCGCCAAGCAAUAACA